rnacentral:rRNA from 1 species
AUACGUAGGGGGCGAGCGUUAUCCGGAAUUAUUGGGCGUAAAGAGUACGUAGGUGGUCUACUAAGCGCAAGGUGAAAGCCCGGGGCUCAACCCCGGCGAGCCUUGUGAACUGGCAGACUUGAGUGCAGGAGGGGAAAGUGGAAUUCCUAGUGUAGCGGUGAAAUGCGUAGAUAUUAGGAGGAACACCAGUAGCGAAGGCGACUUUCUGGACUGUAACUGACACUGAGGUACGAAAGCGUGGGGAGCAAACAGGAUUAGAUACCCUGGUAGUCCACGCCGUAAACGAUGAGCACUAGGUGUUGGCGUAGAAAUACGUCGGCGCCGAAGUUAACGCAUUAAGUGCUCCACCUGGGGAGUACGCCGGCAACGGUGAAACUUAAAGGAAUUGACGGGG